rnacentral:lncRNA from 1 species
UCUUCGCAGCAUGCACGACUCUCCAGCAUUAUUUCUUGGAUUGACUUCUCGGUUUCGACUCCUGCCUGUCUCUGACCACGUCUUAUCGUCUCAGCCCUUGGAUCCCCUGUCAAGUUUCUUCGCUCUGGUGAGAACUUCAGGUUUUGCUGUGUUACUGGCUUCCCGACCUACUGCCUGUCCACGACUAUCCUUCCGUCUGAUCCCUCUGGAAUUAGUCUGCCCCGCUGAUUGUCUGCCUGGAUUCGACAUUGCCUCCGCUUCGACCACGAGCCCAGCCUGCCCCUCGACAGUGCCGCUGCACUUCACAAAGACUCUCAGGUGUAGUGUGUUUUCUGUGUGCACUCACCUUUCUGCCUGUUGGACCUGUUUCCUGUGGAUC